rfam:Salmo salar isolate Sally breed double haploid chromosome ssa27, whole genome shotgun sequence.
GGGGAAUUAGCUCAAAUGGUAGAGUGCUUGCUUAGCAUUCGAGAGGUAGUGGGAUCGAUGCCCACAUUCUCCA